rnacentral:rRNA from 1 species
GUCCUUUUGAAUUUAAUUUAAGGUUUAACCUGCCCACUGAAAAAUAUUUGAAGGGCCGCAGUAAUUUGACUGUGCAAAGGUAGCAUAAUCAUUAGUUUUUUAAUUAAAAGCUUGUAUGAAGGGUUGGACGAGGUAAAUUCUGUCUCUAUUUAAUUUAUAAUAGAAUUUAAUUUUUAAGUUAAAAAGCUUAAAUUUAAUUAAAAGACGAGAAGACCCUAUAGAUCUUUAUAUUAUUUUUAUUAAUUUUAAUUAAGAUUAUUUAAUAAUUUUAAUAAGUAUAGUAUUUUAUUGGGGUAAUAAAAAGAUUUAAUUAAUUCUUUUUUUAUUAUAACAUUAAUAAGUGAAUUUAUGAUCCAAUAUUAUUGAUUAUAAGAUUAAGUUACCUUAGGGAUAACAGCGUAAUAUUUUUAGAGAGUUCAUAUCGAUAAAAAAGUUUGCGACCUCGAUGUUGGAUUAAAAAUUAUUUUAGGUGUAGAAGCUUAAAAUUUUGGUCUGUUCGACCAUUAAAUUUUU